rnacentral:rRNA from 1 species
UAGAUACCCUGGUAGUCCGCGCCGUAAACGAUGAUUACUCGUUGUGUGCAAUAUACCGCACGUGACUGAGCGAAAGCAUUAAGUAAUCCACCUGGGGAGUACGUUCGCAAGAAUGAAACUCAAAGGAAUUGACGGGGGCCCGCACAAGCGGAGGAACAUGUGGUUUAAUUCGAUGAUACGCGAGGAACCUUACCCAGGCUCAAACGCAAGCGACCGCUACUGAAAGGUAGUUUCCCUUCGGGGCGCGAAGCGAGGUGCUGCAUGGCUGUCGUCAGCUCGUGCCGUGAGGUGUCGGGUUAAGUCCCAUAACGAGCGCAACCCCUAUUGUUAGUUGCCAGCGGGUAAUGCCGGGAACUCUAGCAAGACUGCCACCGUAAGGUGCGAGGAAGGUGGGGAUGACGUCAAGUCAGCACGGCCCUUAUGUCUGGGGCUACACACGUGUUACAAUGGUCAGUACAAAGAGUCGCUACAUAGUGAUAUGAUGCUAAUCUCAAAAACUGGUCUUAGUUCGGAUCGAAGUCUGCAACUCGACUUCGUGAAGUUGGAUUCGCUAGUAAUCGUGCAUCAGCAACGGCACGGUGAAUACGUUCCCGGGCCUUGUACACACCGCCCGUCAAGCCAUGGAAGCCGAGGGUGCCUGAAGUCCGUAACCGCAGGGAGCGGCCUAGGGUAAAAUUGGUAACUGGGGCUAAGUCGUAACAAGGUA